UCGGUAGUUCAGUUGGUUAGAAUGCUGCCCUGUCACGGCAGAGGUCGCGGGUUCGAGUCCCGUCCGG
rnacentral:tRNA from 1 species